UACAGAGACUGCAGGCGUUAUUCGGAUUCACUGGGCGUAAAGGGUGCGCAGGCGGCUAGGUGUGUCAGAUGUGAAAUCCCGAGGCUCAACCUCGGAACUGCGUCUGAAACUACUUGGCUAGAGUACUGGAGAGGGUAACGGAAUUCACGGUGUAGCAGUGAAAUGCGUAGAUAUCGUGAGGAACACCAGAGGCGAAGGCGGUUACCUGGACAGUUACUGACGCU
rnacentral:rRNA from 1 species